CAUUAAAAAUAAUAAUACAAUUAGAGAAUCGGGUUAGUGAAUUAAUUAUUAAAAGUUUAUGAGAAUGAAAAAGAACAUACUCUAAAUAAAAAUUAUUAAUAUUAUUAAAUUAUUUGCCUAUUUAUUAUAUAUUUUUUUAUAAUUUUAAAAUGGAAAAAAUGUCUUUAUUUGAAUCUUUUAAUAACAAUACAAAAAACAAACAAGUAAAUGAAAUUGAUUAUGAAAAUAUUAUGGAUUUAUUUAAUGAAUUAUCAGAACUUGAUCCAAAAUGUUUGUCAGCAGAUGAUUAUGAUAAAUUAAUUAAUUUUUUGCCUUUAUCACCUAAUACUCAUGGCGAUCAAGUUUUAGCCGCUGGAUGUAAUGUAAUUGCUUCAUUAUGCUCAGAUGACUUAGCGAGACAUUAUUUUGGAGAAAAAAUAACCGUGUCUACUGUGAAUAUAUUAAAAUCACUUACAAGUCGCAUUGAUAAAGAUAAAUGUAUUCAAGAAUGUUUGCUUCAGACAUGUCGUGCAGUUGGGAAUCUUUGUUAUUAUCAUGAGGAAAAUACCAAGUGUGCAUUGAAGGAAGGAUGUCUUUUAAUUACGAUGGAAGUGUUGAAAACAAACAUUAAUGAAAACAUUCAACCUGUUGUCAUUGGGUUAUUAUUAAAUUUAACUCAUUUGGAUGACUACAAUUACAAGUUUCAGGAUAACAUGAUUGAAGAAUUAAAUUUGUAUGGAAUUAAAUACAUGGAAUAUAAUAAUAAUAACUAUAGAUUUUAUAUAAACUUGGUAUCAGUAAUGAUCAAUAUUGUUAGAAAAUCCUCAAGUAACACUAAAAUAACAGAUUAUGAAAAAUGUUAUUUUAUUGAUCGCUUAUUGGAAACAUAUAAUAUGCAAAUCAAUGUCACUUCCAUUUGUAUUAAAUUCAUUAAACAAGUCUCUAAAAUUUAUAAUGUUUAUAAUUGGAUAUUAAAAGAAAAACAUAAAACAUUAAUAGAAAUAUUAGAUAAAUAUGAAGAAAACCAAGAAGAAGAUCCAAAACGUAUUGUUAAAAAAAUAUGUGAUAUCAUAAUAUUACUUUCCAACGAUGAUGGCUCUAUGGAAAAUAAUAAGCAACUUGAUGUUUUAUAUUUAGUAGAAUGGCUACUUAAAAAACUACAUUCUAAUAAUUUAUACGUUAAGUUGUCGGCUGUAAGGUCAUUGGCAAAUUUUAGUAGAUAUAAAUAUGAAUCAAAUCAUACAACUAUAAGUCCUGCAAAAACUAUAAUGAAGCAUAUAACAUGGUUUAUAAAUACUUUGGACAAAUCAAUCAAAGAUAACAAUUCAUUGAUGGAAGUAUCUAUACUUUGUUUGCUUAAAAAUCUUUUAUACGUUACAAAUUUUGAGUCUCUGGACGAGAAUCAUACAGAUAAAUUGAUCAAAAUCACUAUAGACGUUUUAAACCACACUACAUUUAAUCCAAUAGUAAUGAAAGGCAUGGACAUAAUAAGAUGUAUCAUAAAAAAAGGUGAACCUAAAUAUUUACCAUAAGAAUAUAAUAUUUGAAUUUGUUUAUUAAAAAUUGCAUACACGAGACAGUGGCAGAGACGACCACCUGAUAAUACCAGAUUAUUGAAACUUGGUGGUAUUAGUCAAAAACAACUUGUUUUGUACAAAAAUUCAAUCUUUAUCAAAUUGGUGACAACUCAUUGUAAUAGUGUUGAUGAAGACAUCCAAAUAUUGGCCAAAAAAUUACUUUAUUCAAUUAACGAG
rnacentral:misc_RNA from 1 species